UACGUAGGUGGCAAGCGUUGUCCGGAAUUAUUGGGCGUAAAGCGCGCGCAGGCGGUCCCUUAAGUCUGAUGUGAAAGCCCACGGCUCAACCGUGGAGGGUCAUUGGAAACUGGGGGACUUGAGUGCAGAAGAGGAAAGUGGAAUUCCAUGUGUAGCGGUGAAAUGCGUAGAGAUGUGGAGGAACCCCAGUGGCGAAGGCGACUUUCUGGUCUGUAACUGACGCUGAGGCGCGAAAGCGUGGGGAGCAAACAGG
rnacentral:rRNA from 1 species